UGAGCUUUUCAAGUCUUCUAAGUUUUAUGAA
rnacentral:piRNA from 1 species